rnacentral:tRNA from 1 species
GCCGGGGUAGCCAAGCCAGGUAAGGCGCCAGACUCGAGAUCUGGUGACCCUUUCGGGUCGCAGGGGUUCAAAUCCCCUCCCCGGCG